UACAUAGGGUGCGAGCGUUGUCCGGAAUUAUUGGGCGUAAAGAGCUCGUAGGCGGCUUGUCACGUCGGAUGUGAAAGCCCGGGGCUUAACCCCGGGUCUGCAUUCGAUACGGGCAGGCUAGAGUGUGGUAGGGGAGAUCGGAAUUCCUGGUGUAGCGGUGAAAUGCGCAGAUAUCAGGAGGAACACCGGUGGCGAAGGCGGAUCUCUGGGCCAUUACUGACGCUGAGGAGCGAAAGCGUGGGGAGCGAACAGG
rnacentral:rRNA from 1 species